GCAGGUCUGCUCACUGAUAAAUGCACAAAUAUCUCAAAUGCUGGGGGGGUUAGACAAGCGUCCUGGACACCAGCAGACAUCAACGUGACUCCUGCACAGAGCUCUCACAUGGUUACUGCGUGCUCAAGUCUGGGUUUCCCAACAGAGAUUGCUGCUUGCUUCCUGCUAGCUGUCACCCGAGGAAAAACCACUCUGAACCUCAGUAAGUAGCAGCAGGGAAACACCUUCCUCCAUGGUGCAGCUGCUAUGUUAAGCUCACCACAUCUUUGCAGGUGUGGCUGAUGCCCAGGUUGCUUUAGGUUGGCCGUGGUGUGCACGGUGUGCAGCCUCCGUGCUGAGGUACAGCACAGGCAAACCACCAGUGUGCCCUGCAGCGUGAAGGGCUCUGGCUGACAUUGGCUUUGGAGCUGGAGGUGUGGUCCCAAUGCAGUUCCCAGCGACCUGCCCUGCAGCUCAGGGCUUGCAAGUGUUGCUGGCCAGGAGCUCUCAGGCUGCGGGAGGAGGGAGGAAACUGGCAGAGGGUGUGAAAGCAGACCAGACAGCACAGAAGAAGUAUGGGUGAACAGUAAGCUUCCUCAGAGAGAUGCUGUGUGAUAAACUAGCACAUCCUCCAGCUGCUGAAAAUGCUUAAGGUGGGUCAGAGGCGAUGAGGUGAUGGCUGUGGUACCGGAGCAUCUCACUGCUCCUGCAGGAGUGGGAGCAGGCUGGGGCCGGAGGGAGGACAUCACAGCACAGCAGUGUGUCUGCCACAGGCUGAGCCCAUUAUGUGCCCUCUCUGAUGAUCCAUGCUGUGACCUGUCAUAAGGCAACUAAUGCAAAGGUUAAUGGAAGGAAAAUGCCUAAUAAGUGAAUCCCUUGGACUUGGAGGGAGACAAUGGAGUGGGAUCUCUCCUGGGAAACAUCUUGUAACUAUGACUGAUGGGAGACCAGAAAUUUCUUAAGGAUCUUGACCCUUAUACUACUCUAUACCAGGUGGGUGUGGGUUGUAUAUAGGGGUGUAUGUAUAUAGGGGUGUAUGUAUAUAGGGGUGUAUGUAUAUAGGGGUGUAUGUAUAUAGGGGUGUAUGUAUAUAGGGGUGUAUGUAUAUAGGGGUGUAUGUAUAUAGGGGUGUAUGUAUAUAGGGGUGUAUGUAUAUAGGGGUGUAUGUAUAUGGGGUGUAUGUAUAGGGUGUAUGUAUAUAGGGGUGUAUGUAUAUAGGGGUGUUGUAGGG
rnacentral:lncRNA from 7 species